ensembl:lncRNA
GCGAGGCCAGAGGCGGCAGUUUAAACUAAAGAUCACAGGACAGGGAGGAGCCACAUCACAACAACAAUGCGCUACUUCUCUCGGUUUUCCCCAGUCUCGCUCUCAAUCUCUUGCUCUCCCACACACAGAUCUACCUACAGGGCACCUCCGAGCACAACAUGAUUAUCAGGGGGAAACAAGUCAGGUAGGGAUGACCAGACAUACCUGUUUUCUGGCUUUUGGUGUCCUGUCCCUGACUGGAGCUGUCCCUGUUUUACAGUACAUUUGUGCAUUUAAAACACCACAAAUAGGAGGCUGGUUACCAGAGCAAUCGUACCGGAAUAAGGAGGAUCAGAUGGAAAUCAGUUUUUAUAGCCAAGCAAUGUAA